ACAUGCCUACAACAUAGUGUUAAUGCAUCAGAUCCCAUUAGAAAUCCAUAGUUAAGCGUGCUCGUGAUAGAGUAGUACUGGUAUGGGUGACCGCCCGUGAAGUCCUAGUAUUUUACAUGCA
rnacentral:rRNA from 1 species